rnacentral:rRNA from 1 species
CAGCAGCCGCGGUAAUACGAAGGGUGCAAGCGUUACUCGGAAUUACUGGGCGUAAAGCGUGCGUAGGUGGUUUGUUAAGUCUGAUGUGAAAGCCCUGGGCUCAACCUGGGAACGGCAUUGGAUACUGGCUUACUAGAGUGCGGUAGAGGGUAGUGGAAUUCCCGGUGUAGCAGUGAAAUGCGUAGAUAUCGGGAGGAACAUCUGUGGCGAAGGCGACUACCUGGACCAGCACUGACACUGAGGCACGAAAGCGUGGGGAGCAAACAGGAUUAGAUACCCUGGUAGUCCACGCCCUAAACGAUGCGAACUGGAUGUUGGGUGCAACUUGGCACUCAGUAUCGAAGCUAACGCGUUAAGUUCGCCGCCUGGGGAGUACGGUCGCAAGACUGAAACUCAAAGGAAUUGACGG